CAGAGCCAGGGAGGACCAUUUCCAUGAAGCAGAAGGAUGUCAGGGGAAGAAAGUGCCCUGCAUAAGCUCUCAGGGCAGAGGAAGGAGAUUGAACGUCUAGGUGUGUAACCUGCGCAGAGCAAAACUCUAAUUUGCGUCAGUCAAGUGAAGUCUUCUUAGAAUUCUUUCUGCACAGAAGGCUGUUCAGCACAGGAAGACAGUAUGUCAGUAUAUUCUGACUUCCAACUGCUAUGUGAAAUCAAUGACUAAUUGGACAGUCUCUUCAUUGAAGGUCUUGGUCUGUCUCAAUGCGGAAGGCACCACAUCACAACCCACCCCCGGAAGUUCCAAUUUCAAAUACCUGGGCUCAAGGCUGGGAAGACAGAGCCCCCUUCUGUAGCCACUGAAGGCCACAUCCCAGGUCCAAGGGAAUCACCUUUCCCUCUUCAGAUGGCGGGUAGUGGCCUCGCUAUCAGGUAAGAUCUUCCCUGUUUAGACAGGACUGUGGCUUCAUCUUUACUAGUCCUCGUUAUCCCCACAGCAUACUAGA